rnacentral:rRNA from 1 species
UACAGAGGGUGCGAGCGUUGUUCGGAAUUAUUGGGCGUAAAGGGCGCGUAGGCGGCCUGGCAAGUGGAAGGUGAAAUCCCUCGGCUUAACCGAGGAACUGCCCUCCAAACUGCUUGGCUUGAGUCCGGGAGAGGUGAGUGGAAUUCCCAGUGUAGCGGUGAAAUGCGUAGAUAUUGGGAGGAACACCAGUGGCGAAGGCGGCUCACUGGACCGGAACUGACGCUGAGGCGCGAAAGCGUGGGGAGCAAACGGG